rnacentral:rRNA from 1 species
AGAGUUUGAUCCUGGCUCAGGAUGAACGCUGGCGGUAUGCCUUACACAUGCAAGUCGUACGAGAGUUUUUAACUCAAGUGGCGGACGGGUGAGUAACACGUAAGAAUUUACCUUUAGGAGGGGGACAACAACGGGAAACUGCUGCUAAUACCCCAUAUGCUUUCGAGUGAAAUGGAUUUAUCCGCCUAGAGAGAGGCUUGCGGCUGAUUAGCUUGUUGGUGAGGUAAUGGCUCACCAAGGCGACGAUCAGUAUCUGGUUUGAGAGGACGAUCAGACACACUGGAACUGAGACACGGUCCAGACUCCUACGGGAGGCAGCAGUGGGGAAUUUUCCGCAAUGGGCGAAAGCCUGACGGAGCAAUACCGCGUGAGGGAUGACGGCCUAUGGGUUGUAAACCUCUUUUUUCAGGGAGGAAUCAAUGACGUGUACCUGAAGAAUAAGCAUCGGCUAACUCCGUGCCAGCAGCCGCGGUAAGACGGAGGAUGCAAGUGUUAUCCGGAAUCACUGGGCGUAAAGCGUCUGUAGGUGGUCAAAUAAGUCAACUGUUAAAUCUUGAGGCUCAACCUCAAAACCGCAGUCGAAACUAUUAGACUAGAGUAUAGUAGGGGUAAAGGGAAUUUCCAGUGGAGCGGUGA